ACUCCUACGGGUGGCAGCAGUGGGGAAUAUUGCGCAAUGGGCGAAAGCCUGACGCAGCAACGCCGCGUGGGGGAUGACGGCCUUCGGGUUGUAAACCCCUUUCAGCAGGGACGAAAAUGACGGUACCUGCAGAAGAAGCCCCGGCCAACUACGUGCCAGCAGCCGCGGUAACACGUAGGGGGCAAGCGUUGUCCGGAUUUAUUGGGCGUAAAGAGCUCGUAGGCGGUUGCGUAAGUCGGAUGUGAAAACUCAGGGCUCAACCCGGAGACGCCAUCCGAUACUGCGCUGACUAGAGUCCGGUAGGGGAGCAUGGAAUUCCUGGUGUAGCGGUGAAAUGCGCAGAUAUCAGGAGGAACACCAGUGGCGAAGGCGGUGCUCUGGGCCGGUACUGACGCUGAGGAGCGAAAGCGUGGGUAGCGAACAGGAUUAGAUACCCUGGUAGUCCACGCCGUAAACGUUGGGCACUAGGUGUGGGGCCUACUUAACGGGUUCCGUGCCGUAGCUAACGCAUUAAGUGCCCCGCCUGGGAAGUACGGCCGCAAGGCUAAAACUCAAAGGAAUUGACGGGGGCCCGCACAAGCGGCGGAGCAUGUUGCUUAAUUCGAGGCAACGCGAAGAACCUUACCUGGGUUUGACAUGCACGGAAAAGCCAUAGAGAUAUGGUGUCCUUCGGGGCUGUGCACAGGUGGUGCAUGGCUGUCGUCAGCUCGUGUCGUGAGAU
rnacentral:rRNA from 1 species